UCAAGGCCUCCAGGUGGUCUGCCAGUCAGAAAAAGAGGCGGGUUCUUCCGGGUGAUUUUCAUCGGAGUUCGUUGUGUCUGCCAAGGUUUGAAUAGUUCACUAUGACUUACUCUGAGCUCUGCUUUUCGUGCUGUGAGGGAACUUCUGGGAAGCUCCGAAGUCAAGACAUGGGGAGCACUGGGAUGCAGUGACUUAUGAUGAUGUGCUUGUGAUCUUCACUUGGGAAGAGUGGAUUUUGCUGGAUCCUUCCCAGAAGAGUCUCUACAGAGAAGUGAUGCUGGAGACCUACCAGAAUCUCACUGCUAUAGGCUACAGUUGGGGCAUCCAUCACAUUAAAGAAUGUUGCCAAAGUUCUACAAGACAUAGAAGGUAAUUUUCCUGUGCAAGCUGAUACAAUAUGCCUCUGAGGGUAUUUUAAUAUUCUGUAAGUUUUAAAGAAAAGCAAUAUUGUAAAUUAUCAGUCCUUUAUAUGUACCUAUGAUUAUAAUAUUCUCUCAAGACCUUGUAUCUUGAUGUCAGUUAUUUAAUUUGUGUAUUAAGGCAUUCCUCUAAGAAAAAAAUCAAGGAAACAGUACCUUAAGAUAUACCUGUAUUUGAUUUUUAGAUCCAUUAGAGCUCUGCUGUGGAAUUUCCAAUAUGUAUUGUCUCAAAAUGCUUGUAAGUUGCACCUUGAGUGUGAUAAAUAUAUAUAUGUAAACCCUCCUAAUAAGCAAAUAGUCCAAUGUAAAGUUAGUGAUACUCAUCUUCUUGUAGUGACAUUGCUAAGUUUAUUGAUAUUCAGGAAUGUUAUCAUGGAGAAAACUUAAUUGAUGUACCAUAGGUCUAGGAGGAACAAAACGUCAAAUGGUGUGCAUGCAGUGUGGAAUCCUUUUAUUUGCUAU
rnacentral:sRNA from 1 species